rnacentral:rRNA from 1 species
GAUGAACGCUGGCGGCGUGCCUAAUACAUGCAAGUCGAGCGAACAGACGAGGAGCUUGCUCCUCUGACGUUAGCGGCGGACGGGUGAGUAACACGUGGAUAACCUACCUAUAAGACUGGGAUAACUUCGGGAAACCGGAGCUAAUACCGGAUAAUAUAUUGAACCGCAUGGUUCAAUAGUGAAAGACGGUUUUGCUGUCACUUAUAGAUGGAUCCGCGCCGCAUUAGCUAGUUGGUAAGGUAACGGCUUACCAAGGCAACGAUGCGUAGCCGACCUGAGAGGGUGAUCGGCCACACUGGAACUGAGACACGGUCCAGACUCCUACGGGAGGCAGCAGUAGGGAAUCUUACGCAAUGGGCGAAAGCUUGACGGAGCAACGCCGCGUGAGUGAUGAAGGUCUUCGGAUCGUAAAACUCUGUUAUUAGGGAAGAAGAAAUGUGUAAGUAACUAUGCACGUCUUGACGGUACCUAAUCAGAAAGCCACGGCUAACUACGUG